UGGAGCCUGCGGUUAAUCGGACUCAACGCCGGGCAGCUCACCGGAUAAGACAGCUGGAUGAUAGCCGGGCUGAAGACUCUGCUUGACUAGCUGAGAGGAGGUGCAUGGCCGUCGUCAGUUCGUACUGUGAAGCAUCCUGUUAAGUCAGGCAACGAGCGAGACCCACGCCAACAGUUGCCAGCAUGUCCUCCGGGAUGAUGGGGACACUGUUGGGACCGCCUCUGCUAAAGAGGAGGAAGGAAUGGGCAACGGUAGGUCAGCAUGCCCCGAAUUAUCCGGGCUACACGCGGGCUACAAUGGUCAGGACAAUGGGUAUCGACACCGAGAGGUGGAGGCAAUCUCCUAAACCUGUCCUUAGUUCGGAUUGUGGGCUGCAACUCGCCCACAUGAAGCUGGAAUCCGUAGUAAUCGCGUUUCAAAAUAGCGCGGUGAAUAUGUCCCUGCUCCUU
rnacentral:rRNA from 1 species